rnacentral:rRNA from 1 species
UUCGCAAUGCCCGAAAGGGUGACGAAGCGACGCCGCGUGCGGGAAGAAGGCCUUCGGGUUGUAAACCGCUGUCGGGAGUUAGGAAAUGCAAGGAUGUUAAUAGCAUCUUUGCUUGACUAAGGCUCCGGAGGAGGCCACGGCUAACUCUGUGCCAGCAGCCGCGGUAAUACAGAGGCGGCAAGCGUUGUUCGGAAUUAUUGGGCGUAAAGAGCACGUAGGCGGCCGUGUAAGUCGGUUGUGAAAGCCUUCCGCUCAACGGGAGAACGGCAUCCGAUACUGCAUGGCUCGAGUGCGGGAGGGGAGAGUGGAACUUCUGGUGGAGCGGUGAAAUGCGUAGAUAUCAGAAGGAACACCGGCGGCGAAGGCGACUCUCUGGCCCGUAACUGACGCUUAGUGUGCGAAAGCUAGGGGAGCAAACGGGAUUAGAUACCCCGGUAGUCCUAGCCGUAAACGAUGGGCACUAAGUAGAGGGGUUUU